rnacentral:rRNA from 1 species
UACAGAGGUCCCGAGCGUUGUUCGGAUUCACUGGGAGUAAAGGGUGCGUAGGUGGCAGGGUAAGUCGGAUGUGAAAGCUCGGAGCUCAACUCCGAAAUGGCAUUGGAAACUACCCAGCUCGAGGGUUGGAGGGGGGACUGGAAUGCUUGGUGUAGCAGUGAAAUGCGUAGAUAUCAAGCGGAACACCAGUGGCGAAGGCGAGUCCCUGGACAACUCCUGACACUGAGGCACGAAAGCUAGGGGAGCAAACAGG